rnacentral:snoRNA from 1 species
AAGACUAUACUUUUAGGGAUCAUUUCUAUAGUUUGUUACUAGAGAAUGGACUAAUACAAAUAUAUAAAACAU